rnacentral:lncRNA from 1 species
GUGACAAUAUCUAGGCAUUUUUUAUAUAGACCAAAAAUGUAUUUAACUGAAAGAAAAAGAAUUUAUUGUUCUUAUGAUGAGGAAUUUCGUGACAAAAUUAGAUCUUAUGAAGUGGUUGCUAAUCUAUUCAAUGAUACAUAUCCUGAUUGUGUUCCAGUUUCAAAAUAUACUGUUCACUGAACAAUAUUGCAAAUUGAAAGAAUAGAUUCAGUUAAAGACUAAUCAAAACCUGAGAGACCAAAAAUUGCAUCCAAUGAUGAUAAAGCUUUAGAGAUUUUGUAAACUAUUAUUGAAUAUCUUAAAAUGCCUCUCUCAAAAAUGGCUCAGAAACUAAUAUCAGUAUAUCUGUAGAUAGCAAAAUUAUGAAACGUAGAAAUGUGUACAAAUUAAUUGUUAUGAUUGCUUAGUACAUUGUCAAACAGUGGAAAGAUAACAAUUUGAACAUUUAGGAAAUUAAUUUCAUCAAUACCCUCCAUCUAUUUUUUUCUCCAUGUAUCACACAAACAUACGCGCGCACGCACGCACACACACACACACACACACACACACAAACACGAACACAGACAAACAAAAUUGCAAUUUAACUAUUGUCAUUGUUAACUUCCAGGUCGAUCAUUCACAUAACCAUUAUAUUGGACUUGGCUGCCCAGCUUGCUUCAUUGAAAUAUUCAUUCUCUCAUUAUAUUUUAUUCACAUCCAUAUCUUCAUAUUCCUCUGUAUAAUAUUUGUUAAUGUUCAUAACUUGCUUCAUUUUUUUUAAUAUACACUGUCAAUAUAUAGGGUGCGUCAGCUAAAUCCGGAUAAAUUUCAAAUUGAAUUUCCCGUCAAAUUUGACUUCAGCGCUACGAUGCUGCUGACGUUUUAGUAAGCCAGACAGACGAU